CGGACGCCCAACCGACUGAGCCACCCAGGCGCCCCUAUUCCUAAAAUCUUUAAAGAGGCUUUUAAAAAUUUGUAUUUCAGUCAUGAGUUCACCAAGUAAUUUACUCACAAACUUAUUCGCAGAACCCAUUAGAAUUCUUUACUAUCACAACAUCAGUGAGCAGCGGAUCUGGAAUUAACUCUUUCUGGUGCCUUAUGAACAGAGAAUUGCUCAAAGCCAAGAAGAGAAGGGGGGCUGGAGCCUCUGGUCACCCCACCCUCCACGCCCAGGGCGCAGGCCUGAGCCCAAACACGGGUCCCAGUCAGGCCGACCAGCCUAAGCUGAACACCAACGUUCCAGUUUCACCAUCUGGAGGUCUAAAGACACGAAAAAUGUCAACUUUGAAAAAUCCAACGUCCUUAAGUGGCCUUUCCUUCCAUGUGUACAUUUUCAAACCCGGAACAGUUUAGGGGCAUGGAUGAGACUUUCCGGGUAAAGCAGGCAGGCCACCAAAUGAGCUGCCAGGUUGGAAAAGAGAUGCAAAGCACACUUUCUAGAAGAGGGAGGGGCAGACCGGUAACUACCAAAUGUGGAUGACGUGAAACAAACCAAAAGCUAGUAACUCCUGGGCAGAUGGGGUGGGGGGGGGGGGGUCCUGGCCUGAUUCCACCAAAGGCUCCCUGUGGAGCCCCGUGCAGUGAGCCCCACAAGGCCCCUAACCAGCAACCUGGGGAGGCCAGGACCCUCGUGCAACCCAAACAUUUCUGCAACGAGAUCAUCUCUGUUCUGGGAACCUAACUGCUUUUGUUUUCAUCAAACAAAAAAAAAAAUUGUUUUGUGGCUCUCAGGGUGGGGCCGUCUAUUCUUACAGGGAAUAAAAUUAUGACAAAGAAAUGAAGGACAACUGGCCCUCUUGGGCAAAUAACAAUAAGCCAAGAAUGUGGUUUCUCCUAACCCUGACCUAAGUAUCUUUUUUGUUACACUACAUUACUAUUUACCAACUACAUGGAAAAAACCCACAGGUGCCGGGAAGGGGGAGGUUGCAAGGUAAGUGAUCCAGGUGCAAGGAAGCAGGGGGAGGUACAGUCAGAACUAGGAAUUCUGGAGCCAGAGAGACGCUUCCUGUGUGGUUCUGGGAAAAUCAGGGUCCCCAGAAAGUCUCGGCUUCCUCCUUGGCCAAACAAAGACCCCCUCCGCCAGGGAUGGGUGUGAGGGCCAGCAAUGGCAUGAUGUAAACACCUGUAACAGGUGCCUAGAGGUACUCAAUAAUGGUGGAUGACGUCACGAACGUCUCCUUUCUGACAGAAUAAAGGGUCCAGAAGCCCACAUGUUCUGACCUCAACGUGGCUUUACCAUGGCAUUCAGUUCUUAGUGCAAUGUCUCUUGCUAAAUCAAAUCUGAUUUUCCCGAAGCCGACCCUCAUAAAAGCAGCACCAAGUUCCAAGUGGCAGUGGGAGGAGCCGCCAGCAGAUUCACAGCUGAUUCUUCUACAGCAGGGGCCGGUCAGAGGAAACGUGUUAGUCGUUGAAGGCCAUGCGGUCUCUGUUGCAACUACUCAACUCUGCCGUUGUCCAACAAAAGCAACCACAGACUGUGGCAACCGCAGAUGUGGCUGUGCUUCCGUAAGACUUGAUUUAUAAAAACACAACCCACCGUUCACCGGCCCCUGUCCCACCGCUCCUAUACUUGAACCCAGGGCUCAGACUCUAAACUGUAGCUGUGGGAACCGAAAACCAGACGUGCUCCGAAAGCUACAAAGACGGAAUCAUAACGAAGAGGCCACUUGUGCAAUACGCAGAUACAGGAGCUGUGUGACAGUUGUUAAGGCCCCACGGCUCUGUCGGGAGCACGCUUCGGCCACCUCGGAACACCCCCUUCCUUCCUCCCUGGGAAGGUUCAACAGUGCAUUGAUUUAUAAGUUACCUGAUUAGCGACUACCGCCCCUCGCUAAUAUGUAAACGCUACGAAGGUGGAGGCUAUUCGCAUCUGUGCUCGUGACCCUGUGCCAACACAGAUGCAGGUGUUCAAAAGAUUUUCUACUCGUUUACACACCCACACCUUCGACGGGAGGAUGAACAAUAAGAAGUUUGAAACUUUGGGGGCGCCUGGGUGGCGCAGUCGGUUAAGCGUCCGACUUCAGCCAGGUCACGAUCUCGCAGUCCGUGAGUUCGAGCCCCGCGUCGGGCUCUGGGCUGAUGGCUCAGAGCCUG